UACGUAGGGUGCAAUCGUUGUCCGGAAUUAUUGGGCGUAAAGAGCUCGUAGGCGGUUUGUCGCGUCUGCUGUGAAAACUCGGGGCUUAACCCCGGGCCUGCAGUGGGUACGGGCAGACUAGAGUGCGGUAGGGGAGACUGGAAUUCCUGGUGUAGCGGUGAAAUGCGCAGAUAUCAGGAGGAACACCGGUGGCGAAGGCGGGUCUCUGGGCCGUAACUGACGCUGAGGAGCGAAAGCGUGGGGAGCGAACAGG
rnacentral:rRNA from 1 species